rnacentral:misc_RNA from 1 species
ACGAUUGGCUGGGAGGAUGAGGAA